AGAAUCAACGCUGGCGGCGUGCCUCAGACAUGCAAGUCGAACGCGAAAGUCCCCUUCGGGGGCGAGUAGAGUGGCGCACGGGUGAGUAACACGUAGGUAAUCUACCUUUGGAUGGGGAAUAACAACCGGAAACGGUUGCUAAUACCGCAUAAUGCAGCGGCACCUAAUGGUGACAGUUGUUAAAGCGGGGGAUCGAAAGACCUCGCGUCUGAAGAGGAGCCUGCGGCGGAUUAGCUAGUUGGUAAGGUAACGGCUUACCAAGGCGACGAUCC
rnacentral:rRNA from 1 species